UACGUAGGUGGCAAGCGUUAUCCGGAUUUAUUGGGCGUAAAGGGAGCGCAGGCGGUCUUUUAAGUCUGAUGUGAAAGCCUUCGGCUUAACCGGAGUAGUGCAUUGGAAACUGGGAGACUUGAGUGCAGAAGAGGAGAGUGGAACUCCAUGUGUAGCGGUGAAAUGCGUAGAUGUAUGGAAGAACGCCAGUGGCGAAAGCGGCUCUCUGGUCUGUAACUGACGCUGAGGUUCGAAAGCGUGGGUAGCAAACAGG
rnacentral:rRNA from 1 species